AUGAAUGAAGGAGCAGCAAAGCAGGAAAAUGGUUUGCAGGUGUACCGCAGCCUGGGGAACUUGGACUGAAGAAGACGAUGCAAUCCCAACCUUCUUUGGGAUUCUACAGUGCAAGACUGAACUUUUCCUAUUGUCAUGAAAUCGAUCAACACAGAGAUGUUUUAUCCAAAUUUCUCUUUUUAUGUUCCCAGUUAGGAACUAAACCUGGUUCUUUUUGUCUUCACCAAGGCACUGUAAUGUAUACAUUGAAGCACUUGGUUGGAUGCUGCUCACCAAAUUGCACAUCAGAGUCAAUAGGAUUAGGUUUUCUGGAGUGUUUAAACUCAGCUGUCAAUGGAAAGAGGUAGAUGACUAUGAAAUCCUCCAGAGGGAGUUCUUAUACAUGGAAGCCUAUGUACAUGAGUUAGGUGCACGUGACCUUUUCUGGUAGCCUUAAAUCCAUUCAUUUUUCUCAGUUUGAAUGUCUGGGAAAUCUAGGGACUGGCAGAGAAAGGGCUGCCUCGUUGCACUCAUAAGACACAGGCACAUAGCAUUUAAAUGAA
rnacentral:lncRNA from 1 species